GCGCACGCUGGCGGCAGGCCUCACCCCUGCCAGUCGCACGAACCUUUCGGGGUUAGUGGCGGCCGGGUGAGUAACACGUGGGAACGUGCCUUUAGGUUCGGAAUAACUCAGGGAAACUUGUGCUAAUACCGAAUGUGCCCUUCGGGGGAAAGAUUUUUCGCCUUUAGAGCGGCCCGCGUCUGAUUAGCUAGUUGGUUGAGGUAAUGGCUCACCAAGGCGACGAUCAGUAGCUGGUCUGAGAGGAUGAUCAGCCACAUUGGGACUGAGACACGGCCCAAACUCCUACGGGAGGCAGCAGUGGGGAAUCUUGAGCAAUGGGCGAAAGACUGACGCAGCCAUGCCGCGUGAAUGAUGAAGGUCUUAGGAUUGUAAAAUUCUUUCACCGGGGACGAUAAUGACGGUACCCGGAGAAGAAGCCCCGGCUAACUUCGUG
rnacentral:rRNA from 1 species